AGGUAGCCAAACUCACAAGUUUAACUCCAAACUGCUAACAGUCAGACUCUGCUGCUGCGCAAACCGGACCAGACCACUGCCACCAAGCGAAACUGGGAUCUGUAGACUGGGAGAAGGACAUCCUGAGACCUCCAUGACCCGCGGCACAGAACGUGCCCUCGCAGCAUUGUUCAAAGCCAAAUCAGCGCAAAACAGCUCUGCCUGCUGUUUCAUAAAGGAACAAAAAUAUUCAAAUGUGUUUCCUGUCUUAAAGGCAAAUGAAGCAUUGGGGUCGUUGACAUUUUUAUGCCAAUAUUCAACCUAUAUCAAGAUUUCUCCUCCCUUAUUAUUUUCUCUCUGUUAUUUCACCUGAUUGGUCACUAUUGUUCACAGAGAAACAGGAAACUGAAGUCCUGAUGUGAAAAAUAGCCGAACGAGGAAGAGGGGGCUCAAGAGCUUUCACAAAGACGGGCACAGCAGCGCAAGCAGCAGAGGAAGCCGUCGAUUAAGUUCGCAGUGGGCUGCCAUUGUGCGGCUCAGGGAGCCAGAGGUGGAGGCUGUGGGGAUCGAACCGGUUACUUGCAACCUUCUCAGAAAAGAAGCGCACUGCUUUAACCACCAGGCCAACAUCCCUAUUUAGCAUCUGUGAGUUAAUCCUGCUUUUUCUCAUGAGCCACAAUCUUUAAAACAUGUAGCCCUCUAAAAUACAAGCUCUAAUCCGUUUACAUGCAAAUAUGAAGCAAUUAAAAAUGGAUUCAACACAAUUUUUAAAGA